GAUGAACGCUGGCGGUAUGCUUAACACAUGCAAGUCGUACGAAGAUUUUUGAUCUUAGUGGCGGACGGGUGAGUAACACGUGAGAAUCUGCCCUUAGGAAGAGGAUAACAGCUGGAAACGGUUGCUAAUGCUCUAUACGCCGAGAGGUAAAAGGAUUUAUCCACCUUAGGAAGAGCUCGCGUCUGAUUAGCUUGUUGGUAAGGUAAUGGCUUACCAAGGCGACGAUCAGUAUCUGGUUUGAGAGGACGAUCAGACACACUGGAACUGAGACACGGUCCAGACUCCUACGGGAGGCAGCAGUGGGGAAUUUUCCGCAAUGGGCGAAAGCCUGACGGAGCAAUACCGCGUGAGGGAAGAAUGCCUAUGGGUUGUAAACCUCUUUUUCAGGGAGGAAUAAAAUGACGUGUACCUGAAGAAUAAGCAUCGGCUAACUCCGUG
rnacentral:rRNA from 1 species